rnacentral:lncRNA from 1 species
CCGUAGCGAUUAGGUCAUCAUAUAACCUAAUCGGGUUUGACCUAAUUGAAUCUAAUUCAAUUAGACUUGAUCUAAACUUUAAUGCUUAAUCAAAUUGAGCUAAUCAAUAAUCUAAUUACUAAUUAAUCUUUUUAAAUUUUACAAACUCUUAGCAAAUAAUUUUAUUGCAACUAUUGCAUAAGAUUAAUCAUCAAUCAUAUU